AAACAUUAUUUUCUCAAAAUUUCUCAGCACCCCUUCUUUCUCUUUUGCCUCUCUGAAACCAGAUCGAGCGACGAGCAUAAUGCCUGAAUACUUAGUUGUUGUUUUUUUGUUUGAUUCGUGCGUAUCAACAUCGUUGAUAGAAAGGUGAUUUCUUCCUCUUUUGCAAUGUGCAUCACAACCCCAAACUAAAAUCCUAAUCCUAAUUGUUGUUUAAAUUUUAAUCGAGUUUGUUUUUUCUGUUUCUUUUAAGGGUUUAGGUUAAUUUUGGGGCAGGGUUGUAUUGAUUUCUGGAAUAAACCAGAGAAUGGAGUUAAUUGAAACCCUAAUUUAUAAACCAGGGAAAUCAUAAAACUUUGAUUUAAAUGCACUGCACGUAGUUAUAAGUCGGUUAGAUUUUGAUUUGACUGCUUAGUUUUUUAGGAUUUUAUACUUAGUACUUUUAAUUGAGGAAUUGGGCACAUAGUUUGUGUUCUUCUUUUAGAUUCCUCUUAUUACAUUGGGGUUCACUAAUAAAUUUUGAAACUAAGCUCAUUACCGGAAACAAGAUUGUCUCUUACUGCUUUUUCAUCCCGACUCUUAUUUAUAACUUUUGUGAUUUGUGUUGUUUAUAUGGAGAGAACUACUAGCAAGAAGGCAAAAGGUGUACCAAAAAUAAGAGGUACCGGAAGCAUUUGAGAGAGCUCCCAGUCUUUGAAAAAAUGGGUUGAUGACAAUAUUAAUACUAACAGAACUCGGGUUAUAUUCAGAAGGUAUUCAUUUGCCCAAUUCAAGUAAGAAAAAUUUCUAUGAACUGAUAUUUUGAAUUUCGCUUUGUGCACUUUUCGACUUUCUUGCCGUGUUUUCUGAAGUGUGGCAUCUCAAUCCAUUCUGUGCCCUUUCUGUACUGCAUUUUCUCUAAUCAUAAAUAAAAAGUCAUUGCAUAAAAUCUCUUCAUACUAUUUGGUUGAUUUUCAAGAGUGAUGGUUGUUCAACAAUUAGUCUUGAUCAUGCCAUUUCAAGUUCGUAUGGGAAAUCAUAAAAACUUUCUAAUGCUAGGGAAAAUUUAGAUAUCUGGCUAAAGAAACUAAGAUAUCUGGCUAAAGAAACUAAGCCAACCUUCAGUAUUUCUGCUACAGAAAGGAUGGUUACCCUUCUGUAUAUGGAAAGAACUAUAAGACUGAUUGAUAACAUGUUGCAUCUCUGCAUCACUGAGGACACUGGCGCAAUGUAUACUAAAGGCUUUUCCAGGAUCGCUAUCAAACAAGGUAUGAAAUUCCUUCAAUUGUCUGCAUCAUGUCCUCGAUGGUAAAGCAUGUCGUUUCUAUACAUUUGUUGUUAUGAUAGGCGGUAGUGCUACAGCUCAGUGUGUAACUGAUAUCUCUGGAAGAGAAAAAUUGCCAGCUACGCAAACACAUUAUGUGAAUUUAUAAGGAGCCUGCAGAAGUUGGCUGGUGCCCUUUUAACAAUAGUUUCUGACAAUUUCGUUUUUCGCAAGAACUACCAAAGCUACAUUGACUGAUACUUUGUCCAGCUGGGGUGUUAUCACUGAAGAACAUGUUAGAAGUAGUUGCCUGUUAUAAGAAUGUGAAUACUGAAUUGAAUUGGCUGAGCUUGGCCAUACUGACAGAGAUCAAGCUGUGUUCGCUGCUUCUCACCCAACACCCGCUGUAAUGUUCCCUUUUGUAGCAGCGACAUAAUGGCUAGAACAGGCAAGUAUGAUCCAUGUCACUCUUUCUCUGCUACCAUUAGUAUCAAAGGAUGUAUGUGCACAAAUGGAUAGUAUAUGCCUGGUGCUAUAUGCUUUUGAAGAAUGUGGUUAAUGUUGAUACAUAUGCAAUCUAGCAUAUCACAGUUUUAUGACUAUGUGGAAAGUUUGUCGGUACAAAAGUUAAUUGGAGGGAGUCGUGACCCUUAGGUUUUGGUGGCUUCUCUUUUUAACUAUGAACACUAUUGUUGCUCUUUUUAACUAGGAACACCUUUCUUGAUGCCUUUUGGUGUAGGUGGAUAGGAUUGAGUUUACUGGGAGAGAGGUUUAUUAUUAGCAAAUCAUUCUUUACUCAAUUUGAACCUUUACACUGAUUAUUUGUUAGUUGUCUACAGGGGUCAUAAAUCUAACCCCAUUCUUACAUUUUCGUGUUACAGACUCUUGCAUCUCAUUGUGGAAUCCAAUAUAGCUAUGGAAUAAUGAGUACUGAGCAUGAAAAUUCAUGAUUUUCUUGAAUUUGUUAUUUGUACGAUCUUGAACAAAGCUAAUAAUUGUUGCUCAUAUCCUUGCAUGAUUUGCAUUAUUGAUUUAGCUUCUCAUAUGAGAUUUGCUAUGAGAGAAUCCUAGCAGUAGAUCUCCAGCAUCAUAUGGUGCAAGAUCAGUUUCAUUUGUGUAAUUGAUAUAAUUUGUCUACUCUUCUGACUUUUCUUUAUGAUGCCAUGUUACAAAACCAACUACACUCCAAGCGAUAGAAAUUCUGUUAAGAACCCUCAGCAGCGCACCGAUCUUCACAGAAUUGAGGUGUUUGCUUGAGGUCUUCUGCAUGAUGAAGGUAACUCUAAUUGUUUCAUCUUUGCUAGACUUUUCAGUAUGUAGAACUUUGUGAUGUGCGACUCUUGGUCUUUUCUGCUUGGUUUUUUCAGUUGUGUAUAUCAUUUGGCCAUGUAAUAUAAAGUAUUGCACUGUUAUGAUGGCUGCAAUAUUUUACGUGAUGGAUUGUUAUCGUUAGGUGCCAUGGGGAGUAGAUUUUCAGAAAUUACUAAGAUUGUAACUCAACAGAUUUGUGAUGGAAAAGAAUCGUACAACAAGUUGUUAAAGACUAAUGUGUAAUCUGCUGCUCUUAAGGAUGAACAGUGAUACCCGUAUGAUUGUCAAAUAUGGUUGCAUGGGUUAGUCUAGCAAAAGUUAGAUAUAAUCUUCAUAUUACAUUUAUUUUUCUUUAGAAUCUAUUUUUAAGUGCCUUGAUGCGUAAUUAAGUUUAAUAAAUUUUUAUAACAUCUGCCUUGCCAAGUUCCUAAAAAAAUAUAUCUCAUAGUUAACAUCUACUUCCUUUAUGUAUAAACUGAAGAAUUUUUGAGGUUGUUUUAUACUAAGUAUUGCAAGAUGUGUAGUUUGACAACGGUACUGAAAUUGUUGGGUAUCAUUUCUAAUACUGUGUACAAUGGACUACGGAGUGAGCACAACCAUAUCAUUAGUAUAUAUAUUACAAAAUAAGCCUUAUGUUGCCUAUCCAUUAGGUAAAAUGAUCCUCCUCAGUAAUGCUGAGCAUCUUAGGAGCACUGUAUCAACUGAUACUUUAUCCAUAUGAAUGGUCCAUAAUUAUAUAUGUGUAUACGGACAGUGAAGUGAGUAGACACAGCUCACUAGUGUCUUCAUUCCAAAAUGAUCCUUAUUACAUUAGGUAUAAUGAUCCUCUUCAGUAGGUUGAGCAUCUUAGGAUCGCUGCAUUAAAUCGUACAACCCCUAGCUAACAUUAACAAAGUAGUGGUCUAUUAUCAUGUAACAAGAAUAGAAAAUGGGGUAGACAAUGGGGUAAUGAAAUUAUACUUUAUGCUUUUAUAUGUUUUUAGCCAGCACCUGAUACGGAUACCUUAGUUUAGCCAUGUGUAAGUUCUUUUGUACAUUUCAAGCAAACCUGAAUAGCUGUAAUGAUCAACAUGAGCUCUAUCACUAUAUACUUUAACAUGUUUACAUUUGAAGAGGUUGCUGGCGUAAUUUUUUGCAUAUGAAAGAGAUGUUAUGAGGAUUUCUUUACUCCCUUAAUCAUUGCUCUGCAGUUCAUUGAGUAACGCUACUCAUUGCUCUGAAGAUUGCAUUUUCAGAGCAUUUGUAGCGUUACUCAUUGCUCUGAAGAUUGCUUUUUCAACGUUACUCAAUGAACUUAGGGGAGUAAAAAAAUCUUCAGAGUGGUUUUACUCUGCUUGCCAAAAAUGAAAAUGAAAAACAUGCAAUAAUCAACAACACACUAUGGUGCUACUCUUGCGAUGAAGAAGUCGAGUCUCCAGAAACCAGUUAAAUAUAUUUCGAAAUAGACAUAUGAAGUGUUGGGCAAACAAAUAUCCCUAUGAUGGAAGCCGAAACUACCAUCGGAUUCCUGUCGGGAAAGUUCUCAGGUUAUUCGGCGGAUGAAUUCGUAAGGUUGUUGCUUGCUUUCACACCAAUUGGUAAAUCCUUGCAAGACCAGAGCAGUGAGUAUGUCAAAAAUCAAUCCAUAUUUAUUAUUGUACACUACAUUGUUGUGAUUUUGUCAAAGUACAUGAUUAUGAAUCUGAUCGCUUUGCCAUUCCUCAUGUGUUGCCACUUGCCAUCUUAGCUCAGUCGGAAGAGCGCAUGGCUUUUAACCAUGUGGUUGUGGGUUCGAUUCCCCCAGAUGGCGGAGGUCCUUAUGGUUACACAUGUUUUCGUGCAGCUAAUCUUAAUUGGUUCUUUGUGUGUUACCAAUACUUAUUACUUAUGACCCUUCUACUGAAGUGGACUUCAGCGGAAAUUAAUAUGUUUACAGAUAACUAGCUGAGGUAGUUCAUUUUUUCUGCAGAUCAGCUAUGGUAGUCUUAUUCCUUUUCAUCAGACGCCUUAUACUUUAUUUACAUGGUUAUAAAUUGUUCAUUUUAUCUAUCAAGUUACACAGGUGCUUCAUUACACGUCUAAGGUUUGAAUUGAGGUGUCUUGGAUUGUUUCUAGAUUUACUCAAACACUAAUAUUUUUUCCCUCACAGGUAGAAAUGUCAACGGUGGGUUCUCAGAGACAGUUGGACAGGGUCAUCAGAAACCUACAAGCAGCAGAAAUUCUGGAAAUCCUAUGUUUUAAAGCUAACAUCCUUUUCAUGGUAUUUUUUGCAGGGUGUUGAGUGUAUAACCGAGUGUAAGUUUCUUAAACUAUAUGAAAAUUGCAACUUAUAAUGUCUCUCGCAAGUGGGACGUGCCGCAACUUAUAGCAUCAAUGUUGAGUUAUGGAGCAGGGGUGAAUGGGUAUGCAAGUAAGGUAUUAGCAGAUUUUCCCUACAGUUAAAACUUUAUGCUUUCUAGGCUUUAUUUCAUCGAUCGCUAACCAUAAAUUUAACCUACCUGUUAGCAAUAAAGGCAUUUUAUACCAAAUUUAGUACACCACAUAUAUAAUUACCUAUUUCUUAAUUGACUAGCCGUAAAAUUGAUCCACCUAUUUUUUGAUCCAAAAAUUACACCUCAUUGGUUAUUUUUAACAGACCUGUGUUUAGUUUCAUAAGGAACUACACAGUACACACUUAAAACUGCCAAUUUCUAGCUAAAACUUAAAUUUCUAUCGGUAUUCAAGUUUUAUUUGUUGAUGAAGAGGUCAUUAUAGGUAUGUAUUUUUCCAAGUACUGCCUCGCCAGAACCAUGGUACGAAACCUAAAAUGCAAAAAGAUUAUCCGAGGAAAUCUGUUUAGAGACUAUCUAUGAGUAGCAGAUGUCCAUGUAGUUUUUCCAGCUUUGUUUUAAAAUUUAUCAGUAGUGUGUAUAUGUCACAGAAAUUUAACCUACAUAUGGUGCAUUUUCCUAGAUAAUUAAUAUUGGUGUCUGAGCAUACGAUGGCAGAUUUCUGCGAAGAAGAUAGAAAAAGGAAGAGAAUACAGCGAAGCACGUACAAGUUUGGAUAUCAGUAGAAAAAGGAAAAGAUAGAGCAAAACACGUACAAGCUUGGAUUUGGAGUGAUGACAUUCUUGGAGAAAGCUAAGAUAUUAACAGAUGAAAUGUUUUUGGAGGAACUUGGAAUAAUAGUUGACCAAGGCGAAAUAUGUGUAGAAAGGACAAGGAAUGGUUUCGUUCUCACGGAAAGAUGGUCGUGGUGGAACAGGAUAUGGGGAAGGUUUGGAUCUUACGGAAAGAUGUUAGAAGAAGUACGGCCAUGACUCCGCUGAUUUUUUCACGUAGGAAAUAUUAGUAAUGAAAUGACUGUCUUUUUCCUUGGUGUUAUUCUUUAACCAUUUUCAGUUUUUAUUUCGGAUGUACUUGAUGCUGGAUCUUUAUCUUUUCGUCGGUGUUCUUGAAACUUAUCUUUUUUGGCUUGGUUUGUUAGUCACUUCAAUUAUGUUUUGCCAAACAUAUGUAAUAUGUGAUUAAAAUUACAUGCAUGAGUUUGAUAGA